GACGAACGCUGGCGGCGUGCUUAACACAUGCAAGUCGAACGGAAAGGCCCUGCUUUUGUGGGGUUCUCGAGUGGCGAACGGGUGAGUAACACGUGAGUAACCUGCCCUUGACUUUGGGAUAACUUCAGGAAACUGGGGCUAAUACCGGAUAGGAGCUCCUGCUGCAUGGUGGGGGUUGGAAAGUUUCGGCGGUUGGGGCUGGACUCGCGGCUUAUCAGCUUGUUGGUGGGGUAGUGGCUUACCAAGGCUUUGACGGGUAGCCGGCCUGAGAGGGUGAACGGCCACAUUGGGACUGAGAUAAGGCCCAGAAUCGUACGGGAGGCAGCAGGGGGGAAUAUUGCACAAUGGGCGGAAGCCUGAUGCAGAAACGCCGGGUGCGGGAUGACGGCCUUCGGGUUGUAAACCGAUUUCGACUGUGACGAAGAGGGAGUGACGGUAAUGGGUAAAGAAGCACCGGCUAACUACGUG
rnacentral:rRNA from 1 species